GGAGUAACGCGUGAGAAUCUGGCUUUAGGUCUGGGACAACCACUGGAAACGGUGGCUAAUACCGGAUGUGCAGAGAUGUGAAAGGCUUGCUGCCUAGAGAUGAGCUCGCGUCUGAUUAGCUAGUUGGUAGUGUAAGAGACUACCAAGGCGACGAUCAGUAGCUGGUCUGAGAGGAUGAUCAGCCACACUGGGACUGAGACACGGCCCAGACUCCUACGGGAGGCAGCAGUGGGGAAUUUUCCGCAAUGGGCGAAAGCCUGACGGAGCAAUACCGCGUGAGGGAGGAAGGCUCUUGGGUUGUAAACCUCUUUUCUCAGGGAAUAAUUCUGAAGGUACUUGAGGAAUAAGCAUCGGCUAACUCCGUGCCAGCAGCCGCGGUAAUACGGAGGAUGCAAGCGUUAUCCGGAAUGAUUGGGCGUAAAGCGUCCGCAGGUGGCAUUGUGUGUCUGCUGUUAAAGAGUGAGGCUUAACCUCAUAAAAGCAGUGGAAACUACAAAGCUAGAGUGCGUUCGGGGCAGAAGGAAUUCCUGGUGUAGCGGUGAAAUGCGUAGAGAUCAGGAAGAACACCGGUGGCGAAGGCGUUCUGCUAGGCCGCAACU
rnacentral:rRNA from 1 species